AUUGACCGCUGGCGGCGGGCCUAACACAUGCAAGUCGAGCGAGCGGCGGACGGGUGAGUAAUGUAUUGGGAUGUGCCCGAUAAAGGGGUCUAACUACUGGCGACGGUGGCUAAUACCGCAUACUAUCGGUUGAACCCAUAUGGGAUUUGCUAGUAGGUGUGGUAAAGGCCCACCUAGGCGACGAUCCCUAGCUGGUCUGAGAGGAUGAUCAGCCACACUGGGACUGAGACACGGCCCAGACUCCUACGGGAGGCAGCAGUGGGGAAUAUUGGACAAUGGGCGCAAGCCUGAUGCAGCCAUGCCGCGUGUAUGAAGAAGGUCUUAGGGUUGUAAAGUACUUUCAGCGGGGAGGCGUUACCCGCAGAAGAAGCACCGGCUAACUCCGUGCCAGCAGCCGCGGUAAUUC
rnacentral:rRNA from 1 species